rnacentral:rRNA from 1 species
UAAGAGUUAAAUUAAUAUAAUAUAAAUAAAAAAAAAAUUUUUAAAAUAAAAAUAUUUAAUGGGGGUUAAAGUAUUUUAAAUAGAAAAAAUUUUAUUAUUUAUAGGGGAUUAGUAUUGUAAAAGAAUUUUGAAAAAUAUGAAAUAAUAAUUUUUAAAAAAGUAAAUUUAAUUUAUUGUAUCUUGUGUAUCAGAGUUUAUUAAAUAAAAGUUUUUAGGUUAAAAAUAUCUCGAAUUUAAAAGAGUUAAUUAAUUAAUAAAGUUAAUGUUGCAUAAUUAUUUUUUAUAAUUAAUUGGAAAUGAAAUGUUAAUCGUUUUUAAAAAUAUCUAGUUUUUUUAGAAAAAAAUUUAAUUUUAAAUUAAAUUUUAUAAUUUUUUUUUAAUUAAUUAAAAAAAAUUAAUUUUAAUUUAAUAUUUUAGGGGAUAAGCUUUAAAUUAAAAUUUUAUAAUAAAAUUAUUUAAUAUUUGAAAUUUUUAAAAUUUAUAUUUUUUAUAAAUUAUAAUUUUUUAUAAAUAAUUUCAUUUAUUUAAAAUUUAAAUAAAAUUAUUUAAAUUUUUAUAAAAAAAUAAUUUUUAAUAAAAUAAAAUUAGAAAUAAUGAUAAAAUUAGUAAAAUAUUUAAUAAAUAAAAUAAAAUUAUAUUAAGGUAAUUAAAAGGAAUUCGGCAAAAAU